GUAGGUGGCAAGCGUUGUCCGGAAUUAUUGGGCGUAAAGCGCGCGCAGGCGGUUUUUUAAGUCUGAUGUGAAAGCCCACGGCUCAACCGUGGAGGGUCAUUGGAAACUGGAGAACUUGAGUACAGAAGAGGAAAGCGGAAUUCCACGUGUAGCGGUGAAAUGCGUAGAGAUGUGGAGGAACACCAGUGGCGAAGGCGGCUUUCUGGUCUGUAACUGACGCUGAGGCGCGAAAGCGUGGGGAGCAAACAGGGAUUAGAUACCCUGGUAGUCCACGCCGUAAACGAUGAGUGCUAAGUGUUAGGGAGGUUUCCGCCCCCUUAGUGCUGCAGCUAACGCAUUAAGCACUCCGCCUGGGGAGUACGGCCGCAAGGCUG
rnacentral:rRNA from 1 species